CCUACGGGAGGCAGCAGUGAGGAAUAUUGGUCAAUGGACGAGAGUCUGAACCAGCCAAGUAGCGUGAAGGAUGACUGCCCUAUGGGUUGUAAACUUCUUUUAUAUGGGAAUAAAACGUUCCACGUGUGGGAUUUUGUAUGUACCAUAUGAAUAAGGAUUGGCUAACUCCGUGCCAGCAGCCGCGGUAAUACGGAGGAUCCGAGCGUUAUCCGGAUUUAUUGGGUUUAAAGGGAGCGUAGGUGGAUUGUUAAGUCAGUUGUGAAAGUUUGCGGCUCAACCGUAAAAUUGAAGUUGAAACUGGCAGUCUUGAGUACAGUAGAGGUGGGCGGAAUUCGUGGUGUAGCGGUGAAAUGCUUAGAUAUCACGAAGAACUCCGAUUGCGAAGGCAGUUCACUGGACUGCAACUGACACUGAGGCUCGAAAGUGUGGGUAUCAAACAGGAUUAGAUACCCUGGUAGUC
rnacentral:rRNA from 1 species